UCUAAAUCUAUGUGUUCUAAUAUAGAACUCUGGACGCGUCCAUACGUUCUGCCACAGAAUACGAAUGUUCUUAUUCGGGGAGCAAGUGUUCUAUUGCUGAACGCCUGUGAUCUUUUGUAGAACGCGUGUGUUCUCUCCUGGGAGAAGUCCAUGCACAUUAGCAGAGAUAAUGUACUGACUAUUGUUAGACAAAUUUAAAUUCGACCAUAUAUUUGUGUUUUCGGAAUAUUUAUUUUUGAGAAGAAGAGAGGCUGGUAGAUUGGUAAGUCAAACAGAAAAUGUGUCAUAUUUUGAGUUUGAUGAAUGAUAAAUAGUUUAUAAACAUGGCAUACCUUGUGUUCAUAAUAACUCAUAUGUAGCCUGACUAAAUACAACAAGAAACAUUACUGAAAUACAACUCAUUGCUAAUACAUGGAAAUAACUUACUUGCAUUAUGGGACAUUUACGUGUAUCAGAACACUGGCAUUCUGAUGGCUAAUUUUACCUGGAUAUUUUAUGGGGGCUAUGGAACAUAUACGGUCUAUUUGCUGAACACAUGCGUUCUCUCCUAGAACGCAUGUGUUCUGCUAUGUUCUAUAGUGAUAAGCAGCACACUAAUGUUACAGGGGAGAACACGUGUUCCAUUAAUAGAACAUAGGGGUUCUAUUUAUCUAACUAGCAUUCGAAGCUGCCCAUGUCCUGUGAACCACAUCCGUUAUGUGAGAAACUGACGUGACGUAGCAUGUAUUUGGUGCUACAAUUUCCUAUCAUCUGAGGGGUAUCUGUGGUUCUAUAUGAAUCGCCUGAAAGUACGAAGCGGGCAACAAAUCUCAUGCAACAAAUCUCUGAAGAUCUAAAUUUGGGAUCCGAGGGCAUGAUCAGCAUGCAUCGACAAUGCAUCGAAUCAGCAGAGAGUAGGGUUGCAUUGCAGAUAAUCAGUACCAUCCUUGGAAAUUAUUGCACACAGCACACGUCUACGCAAAGGAGGAAAGGAAACAAGGUUUUUCAGAUCAAAUAAGAAGGAUGUUGCGGAGUCGUAUUUGACAUGAAGUUUCCUGAAGCAUGCGAUGGUCAUGUCGCUGUUACGAACAACGUCCUUGGGGAUAUUUACCCACAAGAAACAUCUGCGAAGUACUUGCGCUUCGUGAAAGACUUGACACUUAAGUUAUCUUAAGUAUGGAAGUAUGCUUCACUUUGCUACAUGACAGUUUGUAAUGUUUCAUGAAGAACUCUGACUAACAUAUUUAAGUGACUUGAAUAUCCAUGAUCAUGACAAAUAAAUGUAAUAAAGAAUUCAUGGUUGCAGUUCA
rnacentral:lncRNA from 1 species